AUGCUACAAGAAUUCCACCGUCGCCGUCCGGAUCGGCCGGCGCCUCGCCCUCCGACUUUUGGUGGAGGCACCAAACUCAUCGUUGACUUGGGUGUGGUACGUCCCUCCCUGACCGUCCUACUCCCCUCCAGUGAAGAGCAGGACCAGGGGAAUGUGGUCCUAGCGUGCCUGGCCAACAAGGGCUUCCCAGAGGGCUGGAAGCUGGGUUGGAGGCUGGGGGUCGGGGGGGCCUUGCAGGGCAGCCAGAGCCUGGAGGUCCUGGAGAAGGACGGUCACUACAGCUGGAGCAGCAGCCUCACCCUCCCCACUGACCAGUGUUGGAAGGCUGGCUCAGUUACCUGUGAGGCCACCCUAAAGGACCAGACCCCCAUCACUCACACACUGGAGCCACACCACUGUUCCCAGUAGACACCCUGUACACAGAGAACACCUACCUAUCUGCCAUUCUAUCAUUCUAAAUAUCUAUCUAGAGCUUCAGCUCUGGUCAUCAAUCUGGGACUCUGUGUCUUUAAAUCUGUACCUGUGUUUUAUUGCUUUUGCUUUUAGAUUGGAAAUGUUAACAAAAUAAAAUGCUUUGUUUUAAUGUCGAA